rnacentral:rRNA from 1 species
UACAGAGGUCUCAAGCGUUGUUCGGAUUCAUUGGGCGUAAAGGGUGCGUAGGCGGCGCGGUAAGUCGGGUGUGAAAUUUCGAGGCUUAACUUCGAAACUGCAUUCGAUACUGCCGUGCUUGAGGACUGGAGAGGAGACUGGAAUUUACGGUGUAGCGGUGAAAUGCGUAGAUAUCGGGAGGAACACCUGUGGCGAAGGCGGCUUUCUGGGCCUUACCUGACGCUGAGACGCGAAAGCGUGGGGAGCGAACCGG